rnacentral:ncRNA from 1 species
CAAGGGGUGUCGUAUUGAGCGACUGAGAACAAACUCGUUGAACCUGAUCUGGAUAAUCCCAGCGUAGGAAGACAACA